rnacentral:lncRNA from 1 species
CCACCUCGGGCUCCUCCACCUCCUCUUCCUCCUCCACGGCCGCAUCGGGGCUCAGGUCCAGGCUCUUCUGCACCGACCGGUAGAUGCUCGACGCAAAGUCCUUGGGAUCCGGCAGGUUGAACCCGCUCUCCAUCAGCGCCGUCUGGUACACCAGCCUCGCCGUCUGCUUCAGGCCCUCGCUCUGCAAACACACACACACAUCAUCAAGUUAGCAAAUCAUCAGGCACCGUCGCCGCUUGCGGCGUUCAGAGAGCAAAAAUCGUGCUAUACAGGGAAGGCUGUACUUACGUCACUGUCCUGGGCGACCUUGUCGCGGAGCUCCUUGAUGAUGGGGUGCCUGGGGUUGAUCUCCAGGACCCGCUUGCCGCGCAUGUACGCCUGCUUGCUCGCGUCCGACAGGGUCUGCGCCUGCAUGAUCUUCUCCAUGUUGGAGCUCCACCCGUACUUGGAGGUGACCACCACGCAGGGGGUGUUGUGCAGCCGGUUGCUGAUCUUCACCGAGUCGAUGCCCUCCGUGUCCAGGGCCUUCUUCCACCAGUCCGUCAGCUCCUUGAACGACUCCUUGAGGUCCUUGAGCUUCGAGUCCUUGCCCAGCUUCAGGCCCUCCUUGGACACGUUCUGGAACUUCUUGUCCUCGUAGUCCAUGAGGUAUUGCAUCAGGUACUCGUCCACGGGGUCGGUGAAGUAGAUAACCUGCAAGAAGAAAUGUGGUUACUAUGUUACUUCACAAGCUUCAUAUAGAUUACCAUUUAAACCUGCUACAAAUGCCAAGCCUAGCACAAAGUUACCAGCUCCUGACACUCUGACAGGGGUGUGCAAGUUUAUCUAACAGGUGUUAAGUUACUCUCUGGCAGCAUUGGAAUUGACAUUACUGUAACUACAUACUGAAAUUCAAUCUGUGCGUUCAACUCAGAAUUUGAGUCCUAAAUCUCCUAAAAUGCUGUAUGGCAACAUAAUAUGUGUUGUGAUCUUCAGUAAAAACUGUGUUGUGAUCAAAUCAUCAUGUGAAUUUAAUUUGUUUCAAAAGUGCAUACGUGAGUAAGCGGGACAAAUAGCAAGUGCAGUGGUAACACAGUUGCAUAGGUACUACUAAACCUGACUGGAAUGAAAAGGGGACAUCACAGUAACAUACCUCG